UGGGGAAUUUUGCACAAUGGGGGAAACCCUGAUGCAGCGACGCCGCGUGAUUUAGAAGGCCUUCGGGUUGUAAAAAUCUUUUUUACGGGAUGAAAAUGACAGUACCGUAAGAAUAAGGUCCGGCUAAAUACGUGCCAGCAGCCGCGGUAAUACGUAUGGACCGAGCGUUGUCCGGAAUCAUUGGGCGUAAAGGGUACGCAGGCGGCCUAGUAAGUUAGAAGUGAAAUAAUAUAGCUCAACUAUAUAAAGCUUUUAAAACUGCUAGGCUUGAGAGAUGGAAGGGAAAGUGGAAUUCCUAUUGUAGCGGUGAAAUGCGCAGAUAUUAGGAAGAAUACCGGUGGCGAAGGCGACUUUCUGGUCAUCAUCUGACGCUGAGGUACGAAAGCGUGGGUAGCAAACAGG
rnacentral:rRNA from 1 species